GACUCUGGAAGUAGAUGGCCCACUUCCCACCUUUGGACAACCUCGGUCUAAAGUAAUACCUGGAAGAUAUGCAACUUUCUUGUUCUCAGAGCCUGAGGAUGAGGCCAAUAUAAAAGGCAGAAGAAAAGGAUGAAAUAAAUCUGGUUCUUAAGACACCCAAGAGCCGUUAAAUCAACCAACUUGAAACCUGUCUUAUUUCUGGACUAGUGUUUUUUAGGUGUGUGUUAAAUCAUAAAUUUCUUAAUUGUUAGAGUUUUCUCUUACUUGCAGCUCAGUGAGUCUUUACUAAUUCUUGUCUUAAUGCCAAGGAUCUUGAAUAUAUUAAAAGCAGUUGUUCAAGCUCAUCUGAAAACAUAUGUUGCAUCUUGGAGGAUUUACUGUGAGACAAAGUGCUAUCAUCAUAUGCAGCAUGAAGGUUAGGGGUCACUUAUUUACAUUUUGGAGAAAUCUGAGUAACCUCUGUUGAAGGACUUUGGCUUUUAGAGAAGAAUA